GGGGAGUUCAAGGCGGAGCACGUAGCGCGGGCGGUGCGCUCCGCUGUGAACGGGAGAGAAAGGGUGGUGGCGAGGCAGCCUGCGAGGGACCUGCCGGAGGUGGUGGCGCGGAACAACGGCGACGACCGGCAGAUUGCGAGUUUGCGACGCUGCUCCAGAGGAUGGCGCGGCUGUUGGUGCAGCCGAGUUCCUGCACCUAGCUCUCUCUUGCUCUCUCACGGCUGGAGGUAGAAGAAGACACAAGACACAAGAAAUUCCGGGCCGGCGCACGAACGCCGCCAUGGGCGCACCAACGCCCUAAUCUUUUCUGUAUUCAGCUGGCUCAAACUCAUACAAGCAGUAUACGGGGUGGUUGUAUAGGCGGAGCACGCACGCCACGAUCCACUCCUGCCCACGCACGCCCACCAUGUGCUCCACUGCGCAUGCAUGAUCUGCCCGCCCGGCCGCGCGCAUGGCGCGCCACUACGCGCACUACACGGCCAGUCCCAACAGAUUGCCUGGCUCUCCGCUACUCUCGCCAACGGCCACACACCAGCUCCGACCUGAGCAAGAACAGACACAAGUGCAGACUCACGCACAC
rnacentral:lncRNA from 1 species